UGGGGAAUUUUCCGCAAUGGGCGAAAGCCUGACGGAGUGACGCCGCGUGUGGGACGAAGGCCUUCGGGUCGUAAACCACUGUCAGUGGGAAAGAAGGAUGUCGGUGCUAAUACCACCGGCAUUUGACGGUACCUGCAGAGGAAGCCCCGGCCAACUCUGUGCCAGCAGCCGCGGUAAGACAGAGGGGGCAAGCGUUGCUCGGAAUUACUGGGCGUAAAGGGCGCGUAGGCGGGAUGGCAAGUCGGUCGUGAAAUCCUUCGGCUCAACCGAAGAACGUCGAUCGAUACUGCUGUUCUUGAGGGUUGCAGAGGAGACUGGAAUUCCCGGUGUAGCGGUGAAAUGUGUAGAGAUCGGGAGGAACACCGGUGGCGAAGGCGGGUCUCUGGGCAAUUCCUGACGCUGAGGCGCGAAAGCGUGGGGAGCAAACGGG
rnacentral:rRNA from 1 species